rnacentral:misc_RNA from 1 species
GAUGAAGAACGUAGUGAAAUGUGAUACGUAGUGUGAAUUGCAGAAUUCAGUGAAUCAUCGAAUGUUUGAACGCACAUUGCACCUCUCGGUAUUCCGGGAGGUAUGCCUGUUCGAGCGUCAUUUGUACCCUCAAGCACUGCUUGGUGUUGGGUGUUUGUUCCGCCUCUGUGUGUGAACUCGCCUCAAAACAAUUGGCAGCCGGCGUACUUGUUUCGGAGCGCAGCACAUUUUGCGAUCCAGAUCAACGUACAGCGGCAUCCAAGAAGCCUUAUUUAACGCUCUUGACCUCGGAUCAGGUAGGGAUACCCGCUGAACUUAAGCAUAUCAAUAAGCGGAGGA